UCAAAUGGUUUAUAUAUAGUUUUUUUUUCAAUAGUCGAUCAGAGAUAAAAAUUAUACAAAGUGUAUAGAUAUUUUUUCAAUAGUCGAUCAAAGUCCUAACCACAUAUAUAUCUCCCAUUAAUUGCCAUGUCGGAAAGAUUCAUACCGUGAAAAUUGAUCUUAAUUUCGACCCAGAGUGUAGGUCGCGUCGUGCCAUUCCAACUGAUCUCAGACCCGAGCCCGAUCGCGUGCUCGGGCCGAACGGCUCAUUUGACCAUUUUCCAUCUAUAGCUGUUAGCCACAAUAACGUAUUCCCUACAAUCGUAAAUAUUAGACGUUUACAGGGUUAAACUUCUAAAAUAUUGAUCAUCAUUUUCUACUAGAAUAUGUUACUCUAAUAGGUUCAUGAUAUUAUGUAUGUGAAUUUUAAGGCAUUUUAAAUAUUGUAUUGACGCAAGUGUAGAUUAUACGUAAGGCAUUUUUAACCAUUCGAGAUGUUGUUGAUGAUGGAAUUUAAAGAUAUUGAUCUGAUCUUAUUUUAAACAUCAAAUAAUUUUCAUUAGAGGGAUUAAUGACUAUAUAUGUCACGCUAUACGUUAUAUUUUGCUAAACUCCCUCCAUAAGCACUGCAUUAAUUCAAGCCAUCAAACCUAGAGAGACACUCUCCACCCACACCCCCAUGGCAUCCAUUCCACUCCUGCGGCUGCUGCUCCCUCUCCCUCUUCGGGAGCACCUCUGGCCAAGCCACCACCGGCCAAACGAUGCCGGCGUCGGAGCCGGCGAUCUCCACCUGAUCUUCGUUGUACCUGGGGUUGGCUGCAGCAACCUGGAGGCACGGCUCACCGAGGCGUACCGGCCGUCGGUGCAGCCGAGCUGCGGCGCGUUGAAGGGGAAGGGUUGGUUCGGGCUGUGGGACAACAGCUCGGACCUUUCGACGUACCACUACGGCGACUGCUUCAAGGAGCAGAUGAGCCUCGUCUACGAUCCCGUCAGCAACGACUAUCGGAACCUCCCCGGCGUUGAGACCCGCGUGGCCAACUUCGGCAUUGCGAGAGGGUUCCACUCGAAGAACACUUUACACCCAGAAAGGUGCCUUGCAAAGCUUAUAGAAUAGCUGGAAGAGAUGGGAUACCAUGAUGGAGACAACAUGCACGGAGUUCCCUACGAUUUCCGUUACGCUGCUCCAAUCCCUGGCCAGGCAUCCCAGGUUUACUCGCGACACUUCAAGGAGUUCAUGGAGCUUGUGGAGGCUGCAAGUAGGAAGCAUCGCAAGAAGGCCAUCAUCCUCGGGCACAGCCUUGGAGGGAUGGUCGUUCUAGAGUUCGUCAGGAGCACUCCAUUGGCGUGGCGAAACAGGUACAUCGAGCACCUCUUCCUGGUUGCGCCUACGCUCGCUCCGGGGUUCAUGGGCCCCGUGAAGAACCUUGCCUCCGGGCCAAACGAUAUUCUCUGCGUCCCAGAUGCUACGGACUUGUCCCUGCGACCAAUGUGGAGGAGCUUUGAGGCUAGCAUUGCCAACUUUCCAUCUCCCGGGGUCUUUGGGCACGAGCCGAUCGUGAUCACAAACCAGAGAAACUACUCUGCGUACGAUCUGGAAGAUCUCCUUGCCGCCGUUGGUUUUGGCGACGGCAUCGAGCCUUUUAGGAGACGAAUGGUUGCGAGGAUGAGCUACUUCGAGGCGCCCAUGGUGCCGUUGACGUGCAUCAAUGGAGUGGGAAAUAGAACGCCACGGCAAUUGGUGUACUGGGAUGGCAACUUCGAUGAACCGGCACAAUUGGUGUAUGGUGAUCGAGAUGGGGCUGUUAAUCUGAUUAGCAUGUUAGCGUUCAACGAGGAGAUGCGUCGGCAGCCAGGACAGAGGGGGCAAUUCAAGUCGAUCAAGGUCGAAAACGCUUCCCAUAGGGGGAUUCUUACGGAUGAAUGGGCGCUAAAGAGGGUCAUGCAAGAGAUUCUUGAAGCGAAUCGGGAUUCUUCGUAGGCUAUUGUGCUUAUAAAACUUCUGUUUGAAUUGAUUUACAAGUAUGUACACCGGUGGUUCCCUAAAUUGGGAUUCUCUAGUAUUCUUUUGUGAAUCGGGGUAUGUAUAGGGAAGAAAGAUUGAUAUAUGUAUCAUCCAUACCAUUUGACACAUGAAAAAUGUUGCAUAUUUCCCAUUGUA